CUUGCUUAUAUGAUGUUGAUGAAACAGCGAACAAGAACAGAAGGAGGUUUGGAACUCAAAAUAUGAAAUCGAUGGCUUCCUCGAUCAGAAAAAGAAACCCGAACCCAAAAGCGGCUGUCCUCUUAGUGAUCGACAUGCAGAACUACUUCUCUAUCUUGGCGAAGCCCAAUCCUCCAAAACCUCCUAACCACCAUCCGCCUCUGCCGACGCGCCUCCAUCCCCGUCAUCUUCGCGCGCCACUGCCAAAAGUCCCCCUCCGACUACGGCAUGCUGGACGAGUGGUGGAACGGCGACCUCAUCUUGGACGGGACCCCCGAGUCCCAGCUGAUGCCGGAGCUCGACGACGUCAGGGCCCACCAGGACCACGUCGUCGACAAGAACACUUACAGCGCCUUCCGCGGCACCGGCCUCGAGGAGUACCUGAAGGAGAGGGGCAUCGAGGAGGUCAUCGUCACCGGCGUCAUGACCAACUUGUGCUGCGAGACGACGGCGCGUGACGCGUUCGUCAGGGGGUUCAGAGUGUUCUUUUCUACGGACGCGACUGCCACGGAGAAUGAAGAGCUGCAAGAGGCCACCUUGAAGAACUUGGCCUAUGGCUUUGCCUACCUCGUCGAUUGCAGCACAUUUGAUCAGCUUCCCUUUCAUUAGUUUCUUCUGCAAUUUGAGUUUAAAGUUUCGUUCUUUGUGUAUCAAUGUGUGUGGGGGUGUGAGUGUUGGUGUUCCUUUCUGUACGCAUCACUGUAUGGAGGUGUAAUAAAACACUUGUUUUGAUUAAAUAUUUUGUUAGAGCAUCAUAAUUCUUAAGAUUCAAAAGUUGAUCUAUUGAGGCAUGUGAAAUGUUUUAACCACAUGUUGUUUACGAUCAUUUUGAAUUUAAGAAUCGUUUUAUGUUUUAGAGAGGGUGUCUAACGAGCAACAUUUGAUUGAUAAUUAGUUGAGAACUUUUUCAUUAAAAGUUUAAUAUAUUUAUAUUUAUUUUUC